rnacentral:rRNA from 1 species
GUAGGUGGUUUAUUAAGCGAGUAGUGAAAUCUGACGGCUCAACCGUACAGGCUAUUAUUCGAACUGGUAAACUCGAGAAUGGUAGAGGUAACUGGAAUUUCUUGUGUAGGAGUGAAAUCCGUAGAUAUAAGAAGGAACACCAAUGGCGUAGGCAGGUUACUGGACCAUUUCUGACACUGAGGCACGAAAGCGUGGGGAGCGAACGGGAUUAGAUACCCCGGUAGUCCACGCCGUAAACUAUGGAUACUAGCUGUUGGAGGUAUCGACCCCUCCAGUAGCGAAGCUAACGCGUUAAGUAUCCCGCCUGUGGAGUACGGUCGCAAGACUAAAACAUAAAGGAAUUGACGGGGACCCGCACAAGCGGUGGAUUGUGUUCUUUAAUUCGAUGAUAAACGAAGAACCUUACCAGGGUUUGACAUCCCAAGAAUUUUGCCGAAAGGCGAGAGUGCUUUAUUGAACUUGGUGACAGGUGAUGCAUGGCCGUCGUCAGCUCGUGUCGUGAGAUGUUUGGUUAAGUCCAUCAACGAGCGCAACCCUUGUGAUUAGUUGAAUUUUUCUAAUCAGACUGCCCCGGCAACGGGGAGGAAGGAGGGGAUGAUGUCAGGUCAGUAUUUCCCUUACAUCCUGGGCUAGAAACGCAAUACAAUGGCCAGUACAAUGUGCAGCGAAGCCGCGAGGUGAAGCAAAUCACAUCAAAGCUGGUCCCAGUUCGGAUUAGAGGCUGGAACUCGCCUCUAUGAAGUCGGAAUCGCUAGUAAUCGCAGAUCAGCAAGCUGCGGUGAAUACGUUCCCGGGUCUUGUACACACCGCCCGUCAAACCAUGAAAGUGACCAACACCCGAAGUCCGAUUCGUCGGCCUAAGGUGGGGGGCAUGAUUGGGGUU